CAGAUCAAAAAGUGAUGAAGUAAAGGAAAGAAAAAAUUAGAUUUUGAGAUUGAAGGAGAUGGUUCAGUUGCUGUCAAAAUAGAACAGUCGACAGACUCUACUGAAAUAAAGGAGGAAAGCCUUUCGAAGCGAUUAAAGAAAAAAGAAUGGGCUUCUAAAGGACACGUUAAGCCAACCGUUCUUGGAGAAGGACAGAGAAAAAGUAUUACAGAAAGUUGCUACAAGAGGAGUGGUGCAGUUGUUCAAUGCAGUCCGCGAACACCAGAAAAACUCUGGAGAAGGACUUGGAAGAUGCAGGACCCAUUGAACACAAGAAGGACAAAAGUUCUCAAGUCCUUGGACAAGCGAGCGUUCUUGGAUG